AUGCGUAGGGUGCGAACGUUAUCCGGAUUUACUGGGCGUAAAGAGAUGCGUAGGCGUCUUGGAAAGUCUUUCGUCAAAGCCCGUGGCUUAACCACGGAUCGGCGGUGGAAACUUCCAGGAUUGAGUAAAGGAGGGGUGAAUGGAAUUCCCGGUGGAGCGGUGAAAUGCGUUGAUAUCGGGAGGAACACCAAAGGCGAAGGCGAUUCACUGGCCUUUUACUGACGCUAAGGCUCGAAAGCGUGGGUAGCGAAACGGAUUAGAUACCCGUGUAGUCCACGCUGUAAACGAUGGAUGCUAGCUGUUCGGUAUGACUUUUAUUAUUCUUCGGAAUUUUUUCAGAAAUAUUGAGUGGCGCAGCUAACGCGUUAAGCAUCCCGCCUGGGGAGUACGGCCGCAAGGCUAAAACUCAAAUGAAUUGGCGGGGACCUGCACAAGCGGAGGAGCGCGUGGUUUAAUUCGACGGUAAUCGAAGAACCUUACCAGGGUUUGACAUAUAGGUAGUAGUGAACCGAAAGGGGAACGACUCCUCGGAGAGCCUAUACAGGUGCUGCAUGGCCGCCGUCAGCUCGUGUCGUGAGAUGUAGGGUUAAGUCCCGAAACGAGCGCAACCCCUAUCCUAUGUUACAAGUGUCUUAGGAGACUGCAGCGGUAAAACGUUGAGGAAGGAGGGGAUGACGUCUGGUCCGCAUGGCCCUUAUACCCUGGGCGACACACGCGCUACAAUGGUUGGUACAACAGGAAGCCAAGCCGCAAGGCGGAGCAAAUCCUCUAAAACCAAUCUCAGUCCGGAUUGAGGUCUGCAACUCGACCUCAUGAAGUUGGAUUCGCUAGUAAUCGCAGAUCAGCCAUGCUGCGGUGAAUACGUUCUCAGGUCUUGCACACACCGCCCGUCACGUCAUGGAAGCAGGUAACACUUGAAGGGAUUCGAUAUUUUUCGGAUUACGAGGGUGAUAUUUGUGACUGGGAUG
rnacentral:rRNA from 1 species